rnacentral:rRNA from 1 species
AUUGAACGCUGGCGGCAUGCCUUACACAUGCAAGUCGAACGGCAGCACGGGAGCAAUCCUGGUGGCGAGUGGCGAACGGGUGAGUAAUGCAUCGGAACGUGCCAUUGAGUGGGGGAUAACGUAGCGAAAGUUACGCUAAUACCGCAUAUUCUGUGCGCAGGAAAGCAGGGGAUCGCAAGACCUUGCGCUCUUUGAGCGGCCGAUGUCAGAUUAGCUAGUUGGUGAGGUAAAGGCUCACCAAGGCGACGAUCUGUAGCGGGUCUGAGAGGAUGAUCCGCCACACUGGGACUGAGACACGGCCCAGACUCCUACGGGAGGCAGCAGUGAGGAAUAUUGGACAAUGGGAGCAAUCCUGAUCCAGCAAUGCCGCGUGUGGGAUGGACGGGGUCUUUCGCCUUAGUAAACCACUGUCGGGACGGGACGAGAAGAAGGUAAGAACCUCGUGGGA